GUCGGACGCUUUGUCUUUAACUGAUAUGAAGAGCUUGCUCUGAUUUGAUUUUAUCUGACAAAGGGUGGCGAACGGGUGAGUAACACGUGGGUAACCUACCUCUUAGCAGGGGAUAACAUUUGGAAACAAGUGCUAAUACCGUAUAAUACCAACAACCGCAUGGUUGUUGGUUGAAAGAUGGUUCUGCUAUCACUAAGAGAUGGACCCGCGGUGCAUUAGCUAGUUGGUAAGGUAACGGCUUACCAAGGCAAUGAUGCAUAGCCGAGUUGAGAGACUGAUCGGCCACAAUGGGACUGAGACACGGCCCAUACUCCUACGGGAGGCAGCAGUAGGGAAUCUUCCACAAUGGGCGCAAGCCUGAUGGAGCAACGCCGCGUGUGUGAUGAAGGGUUUCGGCUCGUAAAACACUGUUAUAAGAGAAGAACGGCACUGAGAGUAACUGUUCAGUGUGUGACGGUAUCUUACCAGAAAGGAACGGCUAAAUACGUGCCAGCAGCCGCGGUAAUACGUAUGUUCCAAGCGUUAUCCGGAUUUAUUGGGCGUAAAGCGAGCGCAGACGGUUAUUUAAGUCUGAAGUGAAAGCCCUCAGCUCAACUGAGGAAUGGCUUUGGAAACUGGAUGACUUGAGUGCAGUAGAGGAAAGUGGAACUCCAUGUGUAGCGGUGAAAUGCGUAGAUAUAUGGAAGAACACCAGUGGCGAAGGCGGCUUUCUGGACUGUAACUGACGUUGAGGCUCGAAAGUGUGGGUAGCAAACAGGAUUAGAUACCCUGGUAGUCCACACCGUAAACGAUGAGUGCUAGAUGUUCGAGGGUUUCCGCCCUUGAGUGUCGCAGCUAACGCAUUAAGCACUCCGC
rnacentral:rRNA from 1 species